ensembl:lncRNA XPC-AS1 XPC antisense RNA 1
UCAAGUGUUUUGUUUGUUUCCCUUGGAUAAAAGUGACUCCGAUUUUUAAUGGCUCCUCUCAAAGAUUAACAUCUCUUCACUAAAUACAGAAGAAUUCCAUAUGUAAUGAAUUUCCAGCCUCCAUGAAAACAAAAUGGACUCUUUCAUGCUGUCUCAACAUAUGAAUACAUUGCUCUGUCACCUGGGUGUUAUUACCGACUUAAAUCUGAAAGAAGCUGGGCACGGCAGUGGUGUGUGGGUGCCUGCAGUCCUGAGGAGCUGGGACUGUUUCCCGAACAAUGCCUUUCCACCACACACGGUGGUUGUGAGGGCCAGCUGAGGCAAAGCCCUCAGGAAGACCACUCAAGCCCAGGAGUCCAGCCUGCGCAAGACACUUUUUUUAGGCUUCUGUCACCACAAAAUGUUACUUGGAAAACUAGAUCCCAGCAGAUGACCUGUACUUCUCUGCUCUCUCCCCUACUGCAAAGAGGCAGUGAGGGCAGCAUUAGUAAGCCUGACUCAGGGGAAGGUAAGUGGCCUGCAGAGAAAUGGUCCUAGGUCCGCAACCGAGGCGAGUGAACUUGUCGGACAGAUGAAGACUCUAACUGGAAGAAACGAUCAGCGCAUUCACGGAUGCACCACCAUCCAGAAAUCUCCCGGUGGCUUCCAUACAAAAACUGAUGUUUCUAAAGAUGGAAAGAACAGGUCUAGGAGGCAGAAGAGUAUCUCCUAGCAAAGUGUUCUGUAGCUCAAAGGGCAGUCAGGAGCACGUCUUUGAAUUCCUCGCAGACGAUGUAUCCAUCAGUCCUGUGGGGACACAACGCGAUGUCAACCCUCGAACCUGCUGCCUGCUCUGCCUCUCCUCCCUCCCCAGUUUGUGGAAGACAGUGGGCCACAUCUGAGCACUAGGGGUCCUGAAGGAUGUCGCGGGUCAGCCAGUGUCCCACAUCCUCCGUGCAGAAGGCAGG